rnacentral:rRNA from 1 species
UACGGAGGGUGCAAGCGUUAAUCGGAAUUACUGGGCGUAAAGCGUGCGUAGGCGGUUAUUUAAGUCGGAUGUGAAAGCCCCGGGCUCAACCUGGGAAUUGCAUUCGAGACUGAAUAGCUAGGGUGCGGUAGAGGGAAGCGGAAUUUCCGGUGUAGCGGUGAAAUGCGUAGAUAUCGGAAGGAACAUCAGUGGCGAAAGCGGCUUCCUGGACCAGAACCGACGUUCAGGCACGAAAGCGUGGGGAGCAAACAGG